GGCCUGGUGGUGUGGUGGUUUACACGUCUGCUUUAUAUGGAGAAGAAUCCAGUGAUGUUUAGCAGGAGUUCUUCGUUCAAUUCGAGGCCGGGCCA